UUUAGGCCGAAAUUCUCUGAUCAUCAUUACUUUCAGUCUUUAUCACCUAAGACCACCGUGAGAGAAUAUUCUUCACAUGGUGGUAUUAUCAAAAAAUAUCUCUUAGGUUCAGAUUCAUGUAAUUGUUUCAUCUAGAUAUAGUUUUACCGGUCUGAACCAUGGACAGAUGCAGAUAUAAUAAAGAUGGUUCAGAAUGGUGUUCACAAAUGUUCAAGAAAAUCUGAGUCUCAUGUUAAGGAAGAGAACACAGUUCCUGAGGAGGACCACAAGGAUUCUAAGUUGGAGGAAAAUCUCACCUCACAGCUUCCUCCAAUUUGUGAAGAGGUAUGUUAAUAUCCAUCUUGGAUCUUGUUAAUAGCAGACAGACAUCUUUCAUGACAUAACAAAGUAGGCCAAGCUGCAUGACCGCGAGGCAUCAUUUCCACUGGAGUUAUUUGAUGACCAAUACUUGCAAUCACACAAUAUAGAAAGCUGGUGCAAGACUCACACAAAGAGACCAGAGUUUGUGGAUCAAGUUCCGAAAUCACUGUUUAAUUUAAUAGACAAGUGUCUAACAGUGAACCCAAGGAGUAGGAUUAGUGUUGAAGAAGUUUUAAGGCAUGAGUAUUUUGCCCAAUGCAAUGACAUCAUGAGAAAGACAAGGAUCAUUCGACGUGGUCUCGGUUUAGAAACUUCAACUUCCAGAGCAGCAGUCUGAGACCAGUUUCAUGAAUUGUAGGUGCUUAAUUGGUUAAUGUUCAACUAGAAAUAAAGCUGACUGACAUGAUGUAUGUUCAUAGAAAUCUUUCAAUCUCUCUACCAACUUGGCCUUAAUUGUAAUUAAUUAGAUUCUAAUCAUCAAUAUUAUUGUUAA